UACGUAGGGGGCAAGCGUUGUUCGGAAUUACUGGGCGUAAAGGGCGCGUAGGCGGCCUGCUAAGUCGAACGUGAAAUCCCCCGGCUUAACCUGGGAACUGCGUCUGAUACUGGAAGGCUUGAGGAUGGGAGAGGGAUGUAGAAUUCCAGGUGUAGCGGUGAAAUGCGUAGAUAUCUGGAGGAAUACCGGUGGCGAAGGCGGCAUCCUGGACCAUUACUGACGCUGAGGCGCGAAAGCUAGGGGAGCAAACGGGG
rnacentral:rRNA from 1 species